GGGGGUUUAGCUCAGCAGCUCAAGCGCUCGCCUGGUAAGCGUGAGGUCCUGAGUUUGAUCCCCAGUACCGCCC
rnacentral:tRNA from 1 species